AACGAACGCUGGCGGCAUGCCUAACACAUGCAAGUCGAACGAGACCUUCGGGUCUAGUGGCGCACGGGUGCGUAACGCGUGGGAACCUGCCCUUAGGUUCGGAAUAACUCCCCGAAAGGGGUGCUAAUACCGGAUAAUGUCUUCGGACCAAAGAUUUAUCGCCUUUGGAUGGGCCCGCGUUGGAUUAGCUAGUUGGUAGGGUAAAAGCCUAUCAAGGCAACGAUCCAUAGCUGGUCUGAGAGGAUGAUCAGCCACACUGGGACUGAGACACGCCCCAGACUCCUACGGGAGGCAGCAGUGGGGAAUAUUGGACAAUGGGCGAAAGCCUGAUCCAGCAAUGCCGCGUGAGUGAUGAAGGCCUUAGGGUUGUAAAGCUCUUUUACCCGGGAUGAUAAUGACAGUACCGGGAGAAUAAGCUCCGGCUAACUCCGUG
rnacentral:rRNA from 1 species